UACGAAGGGGGCUAGCGUUGCUCGGAAUCACUGGGCGUAAAGCGCACGUAGGCGGCUUUCUAAGUCAGGGGUGAAAUCCUGGAGCUCAACUCCAGAACUGCCUUUGAUACUGGAGAGCUAGAGUCCGGAAGAGGUGAGUGGAACUGCGAGUGUAGAGGUGAAAUUCGUAGAUAUUCGCAAGAACACCAGUGGCGAAGGCGGCUCACUGGCCCGGUACUGACGCUGAGGUGCGAAAGCUAGGGGAGCAAACGGG
rnacentral:rRNA from 1 species